UUAGGAUCCAAAGUGGAUUGAAGAAGUCUCCAAUUGCCCUUAAGAAGCUCUGGGUGGGGAGCCUGAGUGGGAGCAGGAGAGGAACCAUUACCCCAGUGCUUUGUCUGACUGUUAUCCAACUUCUCACCUGCUGACGGAUGGAACCCUUGAUGACAAUAUGAGUGACUGGACAGCAGGAGCUACAGCUCCUACAUCUCUGUGUCCCUAACAUUACCUGGCAGAGGCCUCAACACCAACAUGGAAGACAGCUAGGUAUACUUCAAUUCUACCUCCUCUGAUAAAACUUAUCCCAGGCGUCCGGCUCCCACCUGAGAUUGCAGGAAUCUUCAAGCCUUAACAUAUCUACUGGGCCUCAAGAUGCAGCAGGCCCUCAGAGAGCCAUCGCAACCAUCACAACACUCCUGGAGAGCCCCAGGGAACGUACAUAUCUUCAUUCCACCUACGUUCUUAUGAAGUAGCUUGUCUUCUCCUUCAUUUAAAAAAUGAAGAAACUCUCCACUCUCACUGCUUCAUUUGACUACCCUUUAAAAAAAAAAGGAGAAACUGAGACCUAUAAAUUUUAUCAAAACCCUGAGCCUUGAAAAAAUAUAUAUAUAAGAAAUAAACAAAUAGAAAACAAGCAGGUGCUUCUCGGGAAUGUCAGUUUUUUUUUUUCCUUGACUUGGGUAGAUGAGGUGUCUGCUUUGCUUCUGUUAUUUAAACUGCGUACAUGUUUUCAGGCACUUUUAUAAGCAUGUUUCACAAUUUAAUUCAGCAGCACCUUUCCUGCUGAAGGUGGUAUCUGCUGACUGCAUGAACCCUUCUCUAGUGGGCUCUCUGCAGGAGUGGUGAAGGAACACACGCCACUCACAGUGGGAGGAAGCUGCCUGUGACCACCAGGAAAGGCGGAGAGCCAGCAGGGAGAACCACACAGGACUCAGUUGUGACUUUCUCUCAGAUAUCUGGCUUCGAAUUAUCUUUCCUGCUCUUCACUAAGUAGGCAGGAAGACCAGUGUAUGGUGUGACUGGAACAUGAA
rnacentral:lncRNA from 1 species